rnacentral:lncRNA from 1 species
CAGGGCGGGACAAACUUGGGAGUGAGGCUGGCGAGUGUGGGGCACGGGGGGCCACCAGAGGACAGAGCUCCUAGGGAGAGGAGCUGAACUAGGGGGUCCUCGAGGACAUUUCCAUCCCCGAGCCUCAGUUUCCACAUCUGCACAGUGGGCUCGUGUCUGCAGAGCUGGAGGGACAGCCGGGGGUCUCCGGGAGGGAACUGUGGCUUUCUGGCCCCUCUCCCGCAACAACGCGCCCCCACAGCUUACAUGCAAGUCCCCAGGGUUGCAGGCAGGAGUCCCCCAAUCCCUGGGGCACGCAGACAUGUGGGUGCACGGGUGCCCUGGAGAACCCUGCACACCACCGGCAGCCCCGUGGCUCCCUGUGACCAGGUGUCCGGCAGCCGCAGCGUGGCAGGUGGUGGGGCCGCUCGGCGGGUAGGCGCCGAAGCGGCUGCUGGCGGAGGCUCCUCGAGUUUCAUGGAGAGAAGCAGAUGGCCUUGGGGGUAGCGGGAGGUGCACAGGCCUCGGGUAACCCCAGAUUGAGGGGGUAAACUGAGGCCAGGUAGAUGGGGUUCGUUGUGAAGUGGCCCGGACUCCCCGCAAUGAAUAUUUGGGGUUCCGUUGUGUGUUAUUAUCAAAAUAAGUAAAAUUGAGCAGGAUCUAAUGUGGGCUUUGUGAUCCCUGACUUUGGGCAAAUGACUUUACCUUUCUAUGCCUCAGUUUCUGUCUGUAUAAGGGGCCUAUUAAGAGAACUUACCAGGCUGGGCGCGGUGGGUCACGCCUGUAAUCCCAGCACUUGAGAGGAGGCUGAGGAGGGUGGAUCACUUGAGGCCAAGAGUUCGAAACCAGCCUAGGCAACAUGGUGAAAACCGGUCUCUACUAAAAAUACAAAAAUAAGCUGGGUGUGGUGGUGCAUACCUGCAAUCCCAGCUACUCAGGAGGCUGAGGCAGGAGAAUUGCUUGAACCCAGGAAGCCGAGGUUGUAGUGAGCAGAGAUCGUACCACUGUACUCCAUCCUGGGCGACAGAGCGAGACUCUAUGUCUCCAAAAAAAGAAAAAAAGCACUCAUCCCUUGGGGGUGAUGUGAAGAUUAAAUGAGUUAAGUACUUAAGACAGUGCCUGGCACCUAGCAAGUGCUUUGUGUUUGCUAGGUGGUUUUUUGUUGUUGUUACUUUAUAUUUUUGAGACAGGGUCUCACUUGGUCGCCCAGACUGGAGUACAGUGGCCCAACCAUAGCUCAUUGCAUUCUUGAACUCCUGGGCUCGAGCGAUCCUCCUGCUUCAGCCUGGAAAGUAGCUAGGACUAACAGGCAUGUGCCACCACACCUGGUUAAUUUUUUAUUUUCUGUAGAAAUUGUGGGAGGGUGUCUCACUAUGUUGCCCAGGCUGGUCUCAAACUCAUGAGCUCAAGCAAUCCCCUUGCUUUGGCCUCCCAAAGUGUUUUA